GUGCCUACGGGAGGCAGCAGUGAGGAAUAUUGGUCAAUGGGCGGGAGCCUGAACCAGCCAAGCCGCGUGAGGGAAGAAGGUACAGCGUAUCGUAAACCUCUUUUGUCAGGGAACAAAGGCGGGGACUAGUCCCCGGAUGAGAGUACCCGCAGAAUAAGCAUCGGCUAACUCCGUGCCAGCAGCCGCGGUAAUACGGAGGAUGCGAGCGUUAUCCGGAUUUAUUGGGUUUAAAGGGUGCGUAGGCGGAUUUUUAAGUCAGCGGUAAAAUGUCCGGGCUCAACCCGGGCCGGCCGUUGAAACUGGGG
rnacentral:rRNA from 1 species